rnacentral:misc_RNA from 1 species
GAUGAAGAACGUAGCGAAAUGUGAUACGUAGUGUGAAUUGCAGAAUUCAGUGAAUCAUCGAAUCUUUGAACGCACAUUGCACCUCUCGGUAUUCCGGGAGGUAUGCCUGUUCGAGCGUCAUUUGUACCCUCAAGCUCUGCUUGGUGUUGGGUGUUUGUUCCGCCUCUGUGUGUGAACUAGCCUCAAAACAAUUGGCAGCCGGCGUACUUGUUUCGGAGCGCAGCACAUUUUGCGAUCCAGAUCAACGUACAGCGGCAUCCAAGAAGCCUUAUUUAACGCUCUUGACCUCGGAUCAGGUAGGGAUACCCGCUGAACUUAAGCAUAUCAAUAAGCGGAGGA